AAACGAUGCCAACCAGUAAUCCGUCUGAGUUCCUUAAAUGACUCGACGGGCGACUUCCGGGAAACCAAAGUUUUUCGGUUCCAGGGGAAGUAUGGUUGCAAAGCUGAAACUUAAAGGAAUUGACGGAAGGGCACCACCAGGAGUGGAGCCUGCGGCUUAAUUUGACUCAACACGGGAAAACUCACCCGGCCCGGACACUGGAAGGAUUGACAGAUUGAGAGCUCUUUCUUGAUUCAGUGGGUGGUGGUGCAUGGCCGUUCUUAGUUGGUGGAGCGAUUUGUCUGGUUAAUUCCGAUAACGAACGAGACUCUAGCCUACUAAAUAGAUCGUCGGCUUACAAACGCCGAUGAGACUUCUUAGAGGGACAGGCGGCGAUUCAGCCGCACGAAACAGAGCAAUAACAGGUCUGUGAUGCCCUUAGAUGUCCGGGGCCGCACGCGCGCUACACUGAAGUGAUCAGCGUGCAUUUUCAGCCUACUCUGCCAAGAGUGGGAAACCCAAUGAACCUUCUUCGUGAUUGGGAUAGGGGAUUGUAAUUAUUCCCCUUGAACGAGGAAUUCCCAGUAAGCGCGAGUCAUAAGCUCGCGUUGAUUACGUCCCUGCCCUUUGUACACACCGCCCGUCGCUACUACCGAUUGAAUGUUUUAGUGAGGUCUUCAGACUGGCCGGUGCAGCUACUCUCGUAGUGGCAGCGCUGUGUUUGGGAAGAUGCCCAAACUUGAACAUUUAGAGGAAGUAAAAGUCGUAACAAGGUUUCCGUAGUGAACCUGCGGAAGGAUC
rnacentral:rRNA from 1 species